rnacentral:tRNA from 1 species
AUUGGUGGUUCAGUGGUAGAAUUCUUGCCUUCAAAGCAGGAGACCUCGGUUUGGUUCCUGGCCAAU